AUGCGCAGCGGUAACUUCGAGCACGCUUCUCCCAACGAAGUUUCUCGUUUCCCGGCUGCCGGUACGAACUUCGUUGUUUGCCAAGUUACGACUUCGUCGUGUUCACAGGUGCACCGGUGAUGUGACCGAAUUAAGCAACGUCGCACUGCAAGAGGUACAGGAACGUACAAAAGGAGGUCAGGGAGUUGUUGCAACAAAUUGAAGAUGGCCAGGGCAUUUUUUUAAUCUCAUUUCCAGCAUUCGUGAAGAAAGUGGUGUAUACUAUAAAUUAUAUAUAUUAUAUAUGGUAUAUACUAUAAACACUCGUAUAUCUAAGUAUAUAAAUAAGGUGCCUUAGACCCGGUCCUCUUUAAUUUUACAGUGUAAUAAAUGUGUUGCUAAGGGCUAAACGACACUCGUUGAACACCCAGUAUGUGGUCUCCUUCCUCUCCCGCAGGUUGACUUUCUGGCAUGCAUUGGACGAGCACCACUACCUUCUUCAGUUAUCCCAUCAUGAAAUGCUUGUUGACCAAUGACCUUGCCUUAAAAUACAGCCUCAGGGGUCUGCAGAAGAAAAAGGUUUUCCAGGAAAUCUCCCUACGUGGAUGUGUUGUGGAGGCAGCGAAACGGUGGUGCAGCUCUGCUACCGAAGGCGAAAUUGGACGACGCAUAGGAAAGUUAGCUGACCGGAAUGGCGCAAGGGGACGGACGAUUGAUAGUCAGAUACCAAGUACACAAAUCUUGGAGGAGCACUGUCAAGCAUGCGUGCUGUUUUGUAAUAUUUUGUACCUGCAAUACGUUGACCUUUAUGUCUGUGAUGCUUUAAAACAUAGUAUUAAACAGUGAUACUGA